CGCACCUGUAAACGCACAUCCUUUAGGUAAACAAUGACUUCAUGGAGUAGAGUUCUUCUCUGAGCUCCGCGCAUGUGGACGUUAUUUCCAGUCUUAACCGAUUAUUUUGCUUUGCCUAUCGCCUAAGCAUACUUUAUAGGUACGAUUGAGGGUUUUGACAUCUGCGACAAUGCGUUGCUUCUUUUUUGUGGCUCUGCGCAUCUUCAUUCUGCUACCAGUCCAAGGUUACUUUAAUACAAGUGACACUUGUGACAUUGAUCUCAACGUUGACGAGUACAGAAAUGCAUGGAUACAAUGCAACCAGACAUGUGACGGUGCUUCGCAACUGCCAGAUCACACGCCUUGUUACAUAUUAUGCCAGCAAUCAGGAUAUAUUGCUAAUAAAGAGCCUCCGGAAGUUUGUGAGGUGUGUGGAUCAUGCAAAAAGGGAAAAUGCGUCUUACAGGAUUGGUGUAAAAACAUUGGGCGUUGACGUGCCCGCACGCUGUGAAUAAAUUUUUGUG